rnacentral:rRNA from 1 species
UUGUCGUCAGCUCGUGUCGUGAGAUGUUGGGUUAAGUCCCGCAACGAGCGCAACCCUCGACCCUUAGUUGCCAGCAUUCAGUUGGGCACGUCUAAGGUGACUGCCGGCUAAAAGUCGGAGGAAGUGGGGAUGACGUCAAAUCAUCAUGCCCCUUAUGACCUGGGCUACACACGUGCUACAAUGGGCGGUACAAAGGGUCGCGAACCCGCGAGGGGAGCCAAUCCCAAAAAGCCGCUCUCAGUUCGGAUUGCAGGCUGCAACUCGCCUGCAUGAAGCCGGAAUCGCUAGUAAUCGCGGAUCAGCAUGCCGCGGUGAAUACGUUCCCGGGCCUU